rnacentral:rRNA from 1 species
GAUGACGGCCCUACGGGUUGUAAACUGCUUUUAUGCGGGGAUAAAGUGAGGGACGUGUCCCUUUUUGCAGGUACCGCAUGAAUAAGGACCGGCUAAUUCCGUGCCAGCAGCCGCGGUAAUACGGAAGGUCCGGGCGUUAUCCGGAUUUAUUGGGUUUAAAGGGAGCGUAGGCCGGGGAUUAAGUGUGUUGUGAAAUGUAGGCGCCCAACGUCUGACUUGCAGCGCAUACUGGUUCCCUUGAGUACGCGCAACGCCGGCGGAAUUCGUCGUGUAUCGGUGAAAUGCUUAGAUAUGACGAAGAACCCCGAUUGCGAAGGCAGCCGGCGGGAGCGCAACUGACGCUGAAGCUCGAAGGUGCGGGUAUCGAACAGGAUUAGAUACCCUGGUAGUCCGCACGGUAAACGAUGGAUGCCCGCUGUCGGCGCCUUGCGCCGGCGGCCAAGCGAAAGCGUUAAGCAUCCCACCUGGGGAGUACGCCGGCAACGGUGAAACUCAAAGGAAUUGACGGGGGCCCGCACAAGCGGAGGAACAUGUGGUUUAAUUCGAUGAUACGCGAGGGACCUUACCCGGGCUUGAAUCGCAUGAGAACGAAAC